UAAUACAUAUUCCUGAAAUUCGCAACUUAUUGUAAACCUAAACAACACACAGUAAUCAUAACGGAACAUUUAAAGCGGAUCGCUAAUAUUAGCGAGCGCUACGUGAUAUCUGCACAAUGAUCGCUGUUUACCAUUGUAGACUACGAAACAAUGGAUUAAAUUAAUGUAUUAUUAUAACAAUUAAUACAUGAACUAUAUCUCUGAUUUUGGUAUAAUUGAAUAUUACACGUGUUAUUGUUGUAAAUGAUUAUAAAAUAAUUAAUAGGCCCGUUCCACAAAUUGAUGUUAAGGCACUCUGAUGUUUAUUUUUAAAACUUGUAGUUUAUUUGCGAGACUUUGCUGUCAGUUGUCAGUCAAACAGGACUUGCAUCAAAACAGUCUCAUAUUCAUUGCGAUUUUAAUAAAAGCUUUAAAAAUACUACAUUAAUUGGCUGGGCGCGCGAACUGAAAAAAAUGUGAUACUAAAACCGUAAGGAAAAUAUAUAACGGAAGUGACGUAAUAUCA
rnacentral:misc_RNA from 1 species